AUGAACUGUUCUGAUAUCUCUGUUUGUGGUGAUUGGGUUGGUGUAGAUGAGUCGACAACGAAGCUCAAGGACGUGAUAUGGCGCUCGGUAAACCGGAGACUGGAUUUACCAACAUGGAAGGAUUCCUCAAGAGCACAUCAGCACCUGAAGCUGCGGCUGUCGCAGCUCUACAAUUUUUCUUCUUUCCGGAUGCCCGACAGCCUGAGCAUGCAAGAGCAGCAGCACGAGCAGGCCGUGCUGUGCAACAUCAGCAGAGCGCUCUCAGUGCAGCGGAACUACUCGGGCGUCUCUGAUGACAACAUAUUUGAUACUGAAGUUGAAGAUUGUAGCACGGCAUUCGUACUAAUCAAAGAUGCCAAGAAGACAACUAAUGUGCCAGGAGGUGCGGGUACUAACAGCAGUUGCCUCUACUUGUGGAAGCUUUAG
rnacentral:rRNA from 1 species